rnacentral:tRNA from 1 species
GGUGGCUUAAUGGUAGAGUGCCUGCCUCACAUGCACGAGGCCCUGGGUUUGAUUCCUCAGCACCA